AUGAGAUCCCCAUGCAGUACCAAUGAUCGCCAGUGGCGGCAGUAGAGGCACUAAACGACUCGGGUGCCACACCAGCAGCAGCCAAAACUCCUGAAAACAAACAUCACAGGACACUUCUUGAAGAGCAGGAGUUCACUGGAAGUCGUAGCCUUGAAGAAGAUCAAAUGUCCGCUCAGAGGAACGGGCUGUCGAAACACACUUUCGUUGAGCUCCAGCAGCACCGGGACACCCGUCUGUACCGACCCGACGGCUUUAUAGCGAAUGCUUUUCAUAGAGACCUCCACCACACAGGCCUCCCGAACACCAGACUCCUCAUGAGACGUCUUCACCUGGAGUGACAUCUGCAUCAGACUAGGGUCAUAAUCUCUGACAAAUAAAUAUGUUUUCAGCUCUAGUUCACUAUAGAGAGAGAGAUGUUAGAGGUGUUUUGUGAGGUAGUCUUACAGGAAUUCCCGUCUCUGCUGCGAGGGGAA